UCCCCUUGAAGGGUCGUUCGAGACCAGGACGUUGAUAGGUCAGGUGUGUAAGCGCAGUAAUGCGUUCAGCUAACUGAUACUAAUUGCCCGUAAGGCUUGAUCCU
rnacentral:rRNA from 3 species